rnacentral:miRNA from 14 species
GGGGAGGGGAGCUGAGGAGGGGAGCAGGAGCAGGAGUGAGGCCAGAGUGGAAGGAGUUAACUGUUCCUGUUCUCUGUUCUCCCUCUCACUGCAGGAGCAGAGGGCCU